rnacentral:ncRNA from 1 species
GAGAGCCGUGUGCGCCGAGAGGUGCAAGCACGGUUCGGAGGCGAGUUCUUGGAAACCUAC